rnacentral:sRNA from 1 species
UAUCGCUGCCCUCCUUGGGCGUUUCCUCCCUAGACUCGGGUCGCUUGUUCGACGGGCGGCCCUUUUUCUUUGCGGG